rnacentral:rRNA from 1 species
GACGAACGCUGGCGGCGUGCCUAAUACAUGCAAGUUGAGCGCUGAAGGUUGGUACUUGUACCAACUGGAUGAGCAGCGAACGGGUGAGUAACGCGUGGGGAAUCUGCCUUUGAGCGGGGGACAACAUUUGGAAACGAAUGCUAAUACCGCAUAAAAACUUUAAACACAAGUUUUAAGUUUGAAAGAUGCAAUUGCAUCACUCAAAGAUGAUCCCGCGUUGUAUUAGCUAGUUGGUGAGGUAAAGGCUCACCAAGGCGAUGAUACAUAGCCGACCUGAGAGGGUGAUCGGCCACAUUGGGACUGAGACACGGCCCAAACUCCUACGGGAGGCAGCAGUAGGGAAUCGUCGGCAAUGGACGAAAGUCGGACCGAGCAACGCCGCGUGAGGGAAGAAGGUUGUCGGAUCGUAAAACUCUGUUGGUAGAGAAGAACGUUGGUGAGAGUGGAAAGCUCAUCAAGUGACGGUAACUACCCAGAAAGGGACGGCUAACUACGUG